rnacentral:lncRNA from 1 species
GUUUUGUGUUGCUUUAGAGGAAUAUCCAGUUGUUAAUGAUCAUUACUCUCACCGCAGCCCUCAUUAUCCUUCCAUUUCUCUAAUCCAGUGUGUCAGUAUGCAUGUACAAUGGAUGCUCUGCUUCAUGAAUCAGCACACAUUCUUCAGUCUAUGCUUUUCUCCUAACCUGUCUGCUCCUGCUCGUCAUCCUCCACGACGUCUACUUCUGGCCUACUAAACACUAGCAGAGGAUCAGGUGGGUUAUUGGCUCUUCAGGAUCACUGGAGCGAGGAAGUGAACGAUGUGUGAAAUGAAAAGCCCGACCCAAAGCUCGGAGGGAGUCCAGAGAGGACCUUUCUGUCGUCCUGGCAGCGCCCUGUUAGCACGAUGAUGAGAAUCACACAGGUGGAUCAUAAAAGCUCCCUGAAUCUCAGAGCAGGGAAGGCAGAUUAUCUCUCUAGGAUUCCCUCUUGGUCUGGGAUCACCAGCUACCCUGGGAUUCUUGAACUCACUUCCUGCUCUUCAGCCUACCUGAAACUUGCUUUCUCCAAUUUCUUACCUUGUCUUAAGUGUUAACUUAUUUAGAAAAGUCUUCCCUGACCUUUUGUUAUCCUCAUUAAUUAAUU